rnacentral:rRNA from 1 species
UACGUAGGUGGCGAGCGUUGUCCGGAUUUAUUGGGUUUAAAGGGUGCGUAGGCGGCCCUAUAAGUCAGUGGUGAAAUAUCGCAGCUUAACUGUGAGGGUGCCAUUGAUACUGUAGGGCUUGAGUGAAUUUGAGGUAGGCGGAAUUGACGGUGUAGCGGUGAAAUGCUUAGAUAUCGUCAAGAACACCGAUAGUGAAGACAGCUUACCAAGCUUCAACUGACGCUGAGGCACGAAAGUGUGGGGAUCGAACAGG